AUGGGUUGUGAUUGGCUCAGGCCCCCCCUACUCCACACCCCCUCUUCCUCUCUUGAAUCUGGAGCAAUUCAAGGUCAAAAAUUGGACUGUUGAAGGAAGCAGAGUUUGUUAUUCUGGCUUGCAGUAAGGUUAAUGGAGCUUAAAGAACAGUUGAUUAAGAGACUUUUCAUCUGUUGGAACAACAGGAGAGGGGAAGGGAGUGCAGAGGAAAGAGAGACUACAUUUGAAGCAGACAGAUAGAAGAAGGUAGCAAAGCUGCAGCUGUGGACAAGUUAUUAGCCGGGGAUGAGAUCAUCAGCAUCAAUGAUAGAG